rnacentral:rRNA from 1 species
AUGGCGCCUCUCAAGGUGACAGCUGCCUUAUGUGUCGUGCUGGUCCUGAUGAUCCAGCUGCAGGCGCCGGCGGCCGCACAGGACAUAACAUGCGACGAGUGCGGACCGGGAUGUGGCCAGGCGUGCAAUGCGCAGCGCCCCUACUUCUGCAACAGCUUCUGCAACAUCUUUCCCACCCUGUGCAACUACUGCUUCCUCAUCCAAUCCGACUUGUGUGUGCCCGAGUGCACAAACCUCUGCAGGAUCAACUGUGUGUGA